GAUGAACGCUAGCGGCAGGCCUAAUACAUGCAAGUCAAGGGGUAGCAAUACACCGGCGGACGGGUGCGUAACGCGUACACAACAUACCUUUAAGCGGGGGAUAGCAUUGGGAAACUGGUGGUAAUACCCCAUAACAUUGCGAUGUGGCAUUAUAUUGCAAUUAAAGUUUCGGCGCUUAGAGAUUGGUGUGCGUCUGAUUAGCUAGUUGCGGGGUAACGGCCCACCAAGGCGACGAUCAGUAGGGGGUGUGAGAGCAUGACCCCCCACAUGGGUACUGAGACACGGACCCAACUCCUACGGGAGGCAGCAGUAAGGAAUAUUGGACAAUGGGCGGAAGCCUGACCCAGCAACGCCGCGUGGAGGAAGACGGCCUUCGGGUUGUAAACUCCUUUUACGGGGGAAGAGGAAGGACGGUACCCCGAGAAUAAGUCACGGCUAACUACGUG
rnacentral:rRNA from 1 species